UUUCCGUAGGUGAACCUGCGGAAGGAUCAUUACUGAGUGAGGGCCCUCUGGGUCCAACCUCCCACCCGUGUUUAUUAUACCUUGUUGCUUCGGUGAGCCCGCCUCACGGCCGCCGGGGGGCAUCUGCCCCCGGGCCCGCGCCCACCGAAGACACCUAGAAUUCUGUAUGAAGAUUGCAGUCUGAGCAAAAACUAAAUAAGUUAAAACUUUCAACAACGGAUCUCUUGGUUCCG
rnacentral:misc_RNA from 1 species